rnacentral:lncRNA from 1 species
GUAGGCUUCCGGGCUUAGAGAAGGAGGACGUCAGACUGGAGUCUAAAGGGCUGGUCUGGCGUCCGCCCUGCUCCCGGCGCCCGGCGGGACUGCGAACUCACCAGCAGCAUAAUUGCCUGUGUCCAGCGCGCUCCAGGGGCUACCCCGUGGUAAGUGCGUUCCCUGUCCUGGCGACCGACCGAGGCUUUGGCUUAGGGUUUGGGCUGGAGAUGGGCGGAGCAGAAAGUGAAAGUUUUUACUAGGAAAGUCAAGGCUGAGUUGUGGGGUCUUGGGCCUAAUGACCUUCUGACCCUGCAUAUACCACUUGCUUAAAAAAUGUUUAGCUUCUCCAUGCCCGCAGGCAAACUAGAACUCACUGCUCCUCGGAUCAGACAGAGAAAAAGUUCGCCUUCUGUUCUUUCCACAUUUAAGUGUUUGAGGUAAAAUUUACAAAGUGGGAAAAUAAAUCGGCCGUGCCUUGUUGGUGCCUUCCUAUUGGACUGAAAUUUCUAGAAGCCACUGUUCAUCAAAUGAAAACCAGAGAGGAAGGCCCACUAGGAGGUCGGCCAACACCCUGGAUUUCCUGGCUCUCUCAAAGGAUUGAAUGGGGUAGGAAAGAAAACUAUGUCUGUUCCGGGGCUGUGCGGCUCGCUUGCAAGUUCGGAGGCACUAAGUGUGCCCUGCUAAAACCUUGGGGUGGGGUGCAGGAAAGGGUCUGGAGCCCGUCGAGCCAGGCCUUCGUCUAGGACCCGAGAAAGAGAAUCUACCUGACACUCAGAGCUUCCACCUUGGCGAAGAGCUCCCUAAUUGGACGGCGAGCUGCUGAGAAAUCUGCGGUCUUCUAAUAACCCGUCUUCUCCUCCUUGGCGAUUCCUAUCAAAGGCAUAAAACUGGUAUUUUCAUACCCGGCUCGCAAGGCAGGAGC